ACCCCCACUGUCUGUAUUUCAAGCUUUAGCAGAUUUUACUGUAGAAUUUCUGAGAAGUGGGACUGGAGGGUUGGUGCAGGGAAAACAACCUCUGUAUCAACGUAAAAAAAGACGAAGGAGAUUAUUGUGGACUUCAGGACGGGCAGACAUCCCUCCCUGCCUCCCCUGCACAUUGGAGGAACAGCAGUGGACAUGGUCUCCAGCUUCAGGUACCUGGGCGUGUAUAAUAGGAUAGAAAAGCUAUACAUUGAGUUUUAAUUGUAAACAGACACCCCCCUAAUUUUUUGAAAAGCAACUGAGCUAUCCUAGCAGUUUUAAUAGUAAAGUCUUACUCCACGUCAGUAGGUGGUGCUGUUUGUACUAUACUGUGGAUUCACACGGGAUACGUGAUGAAAAGCUUGGCGCAUGCGCAGCUCACAAAUUAGUUCAGCCUGAGCAAGAUGCUAAGAUCUGGUCACCUCCCUUCUUCAAAUCUACAGUGCUCCCUUGCCUGGGUAACCCUUGCUGCUGGUCCAGAUUUCUCCUAGGUCUGGCGCCGGUAACACGUGCACCUAAUGGAUGACCUCACCUGGAGCAACAACACUUCCAGCCUAGUCAGGAAGGCACACCAGCACCUCUACUUCCUCAAAAGGCCGAGGCGCGCUGGACUGGGGAGGUCAUUCCUCAACACCUUCGACAGAUAUGUGGUGGAAAGCAUCCUGUGCUCCUGCAUCACCGUGUGGCACGGCAGCUGCUCUGCACAGAGUACUGUGGGCAGCAUCCUUCCCACCACCACAGUCAUCUACACUUCUAGAUGCAGGAAAAGGGCCUCCUGCAUCAUGAAAGUCCCCACCCACCCCGCACACACACUGUUUGCCCCCGCACUAUCUCAAGACUCUACCUCAAAACUCACGUCACUUUAAAUUGCAUGCUUCCCAUGUCUUUUAAAUCAUCAUGCCUCACUCAUGUCACCCAACCCUUAAUUAUAGUUUUGUAGUUUAGAUUAGUCUUGUUGGUUUAUUGUAAAGUUUUUUUAGUCACAUCCAAGCACUUUAUCCGUGAUUUUAACUUGUAUAUAUGUUCGGACUUACCAGGAUGUGACAUUGCAAUUUCGUUUCCACUGUAUGUUGUACAUGUGAUGGUUAUGACAAUAACCCUUGAAUCCUUGAAGUCUGUUACUAUUUUAGGAAAAUGAAAGGGAAAAUAAGCAAAAUUUUCAUGAUAGUGUUCAUAACUUGCUCCUAUGAAAUAUUAUUUAAAAAUAAUCCUUAAGA